rnacentral:tRNA from 1 species
GUAGCUGUGGCUGAGUGGUAAAGCGCUUGGCUUCUGAACCAGGAGUCCCGGGUUCAAAUCCUGGGAUUUUUA